rnacentral:rRNA from 1 species
CAUCCUGGCAACAGGAACGACCAUAAAGAAGCCGUCGAGAGAUAUCGGAAGAGUUUUCUUUUCUGUUUUAUAGUCGUACUACCAUGGAAGUCUUUCGCAGAGAGAUAUGGUAGAUGGGCUAGAAGAGCAUGACAUAUACUGUUGUGUCGAUAUUUUCUCCUCGGACCUUGAAAAUUUAUGGUGGGGAUACGCAAACUUCUCAACAGGGCCGUACCAAUAUCCGCAGCUGGUCUCCAGGUGAAGAGUCUCUAGUCGAUAGAAUAAUGUAGGUAAGGGAAGUCGGCAAAUUAGAUCCGUAACUUCGGGAUAAGGAUUGGCUCUGAAGAUUGAGAUAGUCGGGCUUGAUUGGGAAACAAUAAUAUGGUUUAUGUGCUCGUUCUGGGAAAUAGAGUUUCGAUCAUUUAUGGUUGUAACUUGUUCCCCGGAUAGUUAGUUACGUAUCCAAUUGUGGAACUUUCUUGCUAAAAUUUUUAAGAAUACUAGUUGGGUCAAACCAAUUAGUUCUUAUUAAUUAUAACGAUUAUCAAUUAACAAUCAAUUCAGAACUGGCACGGACUUGGGGAAUCCGACUGUCUAAUUAAAACAAAGCAUUGUGAUGGCCCUAGCGGGUGUUGACACAAUGUGAUUUCUGCCCAGUGCUCUGAAUGUCAAAGUGAAGAAAUUCAAGUAAGCGCGGGUCAACGGCGGGAGUAACUAUGACUCUCUUAAGGUAGCCAAAUGCCUCGUCAUCUAAUUAGUGACGCGCAUGAAUGGAUUAACGAGAUUCCUACUGUCCCUAUCUACUAUCUAGCGAAACCACAGCCAAGGGAACGGGCUUGGAAUAAUUAGCGGGGAAAGAAGACCCUUUUGAGCUUGACUCUAAUCUGGCAGUGUAAGGAGACAUAAGAGGUGUAGAAUAAGUGGGAGAUAUUAGACUUCGGUUUGGUAUCGCCAAUGAAAUACCACUACUCUUAUUGUUUCCUUACUUACUUGAUUAAAUGGAACGUGUAUCAUUUCCUAGCCAUUAUACGGAUAUAUUUAUUAUAUCUUAUGGUAUUGGGUUUUGAUGCAAGCUUCUUGAUCAAAGUAUCACGAGUUUGUUAUAUAAUCGCAAACAAAUUCUUUAAUGAGAGAUGCAUUUACUGUAUUAUUGAUUUGAAAAUUUGGUAUAACUCCAAUUACUCAGGUAUGAUCCAAUUCAAGGACAUUGCCAGGUAGGGAGUUUGACUGGGGCGGUACAUCUCUCAAAUAAUAACGGAGGUGUCCCAAGGCCAGCUCAGUGCGGACAGAAACCACACAUAGAGCAAAAGGGCAAAUGCUGACUUGAUCUCGGUGUUCAGUACACACAGGGACAGCAAAAGCUCGGCCUAUCGAUCCUUUUGGUUUAAAGAGUUUUAACAAGAGGUGUCAGAAAAGUUACCAUAGGGAUAACUGGCUUGUGGCGGCCAAGCGUUCAUAGCGACGUCGCUUUUUGAUCCUUCGAUGUCGGCUCUUCCUAUCAUUGUGAAGCAAAAUUCACCAAGCGUUGGAUUGUUCACCCAUGCAAGGGAACGUGAGCUGGGUUUAGACCGUCGUGAGACAGGUUAGUUUUACCCUACUAAUGACAAAACGUUGUUGCGACAGCAUUCCUGCGUAGUACGAGAGGAACCGCAGGUACGGACCAAUGGCACAAUACUUGUUCGAGCGAACAGUGGUAUGACGCUACGUCCGUUGGAUUAUGCCUGAACGCCUCUAAGGUCGUAUCCGUGCUGGACUGCAAUGAUAAAUAAGGGGCAAUUUGCAUUGUAUGGCUUCUAAACCAUUUAAAGUUUAUUAUUUAUAUUUUAAACGACAAUGGAUGUGAUGCCAAUGUAAUUUGU